rnacentral:snRNA from 1 species
UGCAAAUCGUUCGUCUGACU